CUAAGAAUCUUCCGCAAUGGACGAAAGUCUGACGGAGCGACGCCGUGUGAAUGAGGAAGGCCGAAAGGUUGUAAAAUUCUUUUGCAGAUGAAGAAUAAGAAGAAGAGGGAAUGCUUCUUUGAUGACGGUAAUCAUGCGAAUAAGCCCCGGCUAAUUACGUGCCAGCAGCCGCGGUAACACGUAAGGGGCGAGCGUUGUUCGGAAUUAUUGGGCGUAAAGGGUAUGUAGGCGGUUAGGUAAGCCUGGUGUGAAAUCUACGAGCUCAACUCGUAAACUGCAUUGGGUACUGCUUGACUUGAAUCACGGAGGGGAAACCGGAAUUCCAAGUGUAGGGGUGGAAUCUGUAGAUAUUUGGAAGAACACCGGUGGCGAAGGCGGGUUUCUGGCCGAUGAUUGACGCUGAUAUACGAAGGUGCGGGGAGCAAACAGGAUUAGAUACCCUGGUAGUCCGCACAGUAAACGAUGUACACUAGGUGUCGGGGCAAGAGCUUCGGUGCCGUAAGCAAACGCAUUAAGUGUACCGCCUGGGAAGUAUGCCCGCAAGGGUG
rnacentral:rRNA from 1 species